UCAACCAUCAAGCCUAGCUUGUCGUUGGACCCUUUGUCACCUGGCGACAGGUCCGAAAGAUAAUGAACGGUGUCAUGGCGACCCUAUAUGCAACGAGCUUGUAAAAUAGCACGCAUUUGGUGGUCGUCUGGCCCGAUCGUCACCUUUUAAUUUUCUCCA
rnacentral:misc_RNA from 1 species